ensembl:lncRNA
CUGUUAUUACUUUAUGAUAAAUUCAAGAUAAAUGAUGUUACUGUAGAUGUGUCAUGGAUCGGCAUGCUUCAUUCUAUAUUAUUAGCAGGUGUCGAGGAAAGGUGGGUAAAAGAGGACAACUAAAGUUUAUGAGUUAAGGAUCAGGUUUAAAGGUUUGGGGAUAGGGUUUAUGUUUAGAGGUUUGAGGUUUUGGGGUUUAGGUUUAGAGGAUUAGGGUUUAGGUUUAGAGGAUUAGGGUUUAGGUUUAGAGGAUUAGGGUUAAGGUUUUGGGUAUAAGGUUUAGGUUUAGAGGUUUGAGAUUGGGGUUUAGGUUUAGAGGUUUGGGGUUUAGGUUUAGGUUUAGAGGUUUAGGUUUAGAGGAUUAGGGUUAAGGUUUAGAGGAUUAGGGUUAAGGUUUAGAGGUUUGAGAUUGGGGUUUUGGUUUAGAGGUUUGGGGUUUAGGUUUAGGUUUAGAGGUUUUGGGUUUAGGUUUAGAGGUCUUGGUUUAGGGUUCCUUCACCGGAACUCAGUAACGCCAGCUAG